rnacentral:rRNA from 1 species
UACGAAGGGGGCGAGCGUUGUUCGGAAUUACUGGGCGUAAAGGGCGCGCAGGCGGCCUUAGAAGUCAGAUGUGAAAGCCCCGGGCUCAACCUGGGAAUGGCAUUUGAUACUCUGAGGCUGGAGUACGGGAGAGGAGAGUGGAAUUCCCAGUGUAGAGGUGAAAUGCGUAGAGAUGUGGAGGAACACCAGUGGCGAAGGCGGCUCUUUGGUCUGUAACUGACGCUGAGGCGCGAAAGCGUGGGGAGCAAACAGG